rnacentral:rRNA from 1 species
GAUGAACGCUGGCGGCGUGCCUAAUACAUGCAAGUCGAGCGAACAGAUGAGGAGCUUGCUCCUCUGACGUUAGCGGAGGACGGGUGAGUAACACGUGGAUAACCUACCUAUAAGACUGGGAUAACUUCGGGAAACCGGCGCUAAUACCGGAUAAUAUCUUGAACCGCAUGGUUCAAUGGUGAAAGACGGUGUUGCUGUAUCUUAUAGAUGGAUCCGGGCCGCUUUGGCUAGUUGGUAAGGUAACGGCUUACCACGGGAAGUAUGCGUAGGCGACGGCACAGGGGGGUCGGCGACACGGGAGGUGAGACACGGACAUGACUCCUACGGGAGGCAGCAGAAGGGAAUCGUAGGCAGUAGGCGGAAACCUGACGGAGCAACGCGACGUGAGUGACGGAAGUCUUCGGAUCGGAAAACUCUGUUACUAGGGAAGAACCAAUGUGGAAGGAAAUGUGCACGGCGUGACGGUAACUAAUCAGAAAGCACCGGCUAACUACGUG